rnacentral:rRNA from 1 species
GACGAACGCUGGCGGCGUGCUUAAUACAUGCAAGUCGAACGGUGAAAGCGGAGCUUGCUCCGCUGGAUCAGUGGCGAACGGGUGAGUAACACGUGGGCAACCUGCCCCUCACUUCGGGAUAACUCCGGGAAACCGGGGCUAAUACCGGAUAUGACCUCCUUGGGCAUCCUUGGAGGUGGAAAGUUUUUCGGUGAGUGAUGGGCCCGCGGCCUAUCAGCUUGUUGGUGAGGUAGUGGCUCACCAAGGCGACGACGGGUAGCCGGCCUGAGAGGGCGACCGGCCACACUGGGACUGAGACACGGCCCAGACUCCUACGGGAGGCAGCAGUGGGGAAUAUUGCGCAAUGGGCGAAAGCCUGACGCAGCAACGCCGCGUGCGGGAUGACGGCCUUCGGGUUGUAAACCGCUUUCAGCAGGGAAGAAGCCGCAAGGUGACGGUACCUGCAGAAGAAGCACCGGCUAACUACGUGCCAGCCGCCGCGGUAA